rnacentral:sRNA from 1 species
UCAACCUAGAUCCCUUGCAUGCAUAGUUCACAAUAGUGUUCGCAUGCCUAUGAAAAUCUAAUGCCCCUUGCAGGAGGCAGAGCUCAGGCAGUAAUGCAUGCUUGCCUGCUGCUCACCUCCUACUGUGCAGCCCAGUUCCUAUCAGGCCACAGACCAGUACCAGUCCACAGCCCAGGGGUUGGGGACCCCUGGGGUGUCUUCUGGCUCCUUUGCACUACCUACGCUGCCAGGCUUAGCAGCAGCCCUAGAAACAGGUGUAUCAAGAAGACUCUGCUCCUGGUGGGCUGGGGCUGAGAUGGCAGAGGCCCAUCCCAUCAUAUGCCAGAAAGAGGACACACUUGUGAGUCCAGGACUUGGGACUCUAUAGUUUUCUUCUCUGCUCAGACUGGCUUCUGGGCAGCUCCUCACUUUGCCAUUAACUCCUCAGAGUCAAGCCCCAGACGCCCCUUGGACCAGCCCCACUCCUAAGGUCAUCUGGUCAGGGUCUGCAGGGGUGACGCUUUCACUGACAAAAGGAUUUUAAUUUUGGUCCUAUCCCUAGUGUAGUCCCGGCCAGUCUUUGGUAGUCACCCACUUUUCCUGCUCUGACAGAGAUGGGCCAGCCCCUCCCUUAGGGGCUGCUCCCGGGAAAGGCUCAUCCACAGGCUAGGCCUCUGCCGGGCCUGCUGCCAGCCACUGAGCCUUUGGCGAUUGAGAGCUGACUCCCGACUGAGGUGUAGGCCUCCGUCCAGCCAGCACAAAGGGAGGCACAUCCCUUGCAGCAGUACCCACAGCCCCUGUCACGGCAGGCUGUGGCCAGACCCUGAUUGAGUGGCUCCCUCUCAGCCAUCUGUUCAGUCACCCAGAAACAAGUCAAGUCAAAGCUCCCAGUGAGUUCCUGCCUCAGCCAUUUGGUGUCAAAAGGAAAGCCAGGGCGUUGCCACUUCCUGAUUUGGGACAAGAUGUGUAAAUGCAUUGAGCCUCAGACUCCUUAUCUGUAGAACUUGGGGUAAUGAUAACUACUUCAUGGUGUUUAAGAAUUCCAUGGAAUCACAGAUGGAAAGAGCCUAGAUGUACUAUGCCUGACUCGUUGGAGACUUCACAUAAAAGGGUUUUCAGCUGCUGCCACCCCCAUCUUUUAAGUAUUUUCACAAUUCCAUACACCUGGUCCUGGCAAAAAGAAUUUCAUUCCCUGUUCACUUACUUGAAAACCCCUCUUCUUUUUUUUCGAGAGAGAGGGUCUCACUGUGUUGCCCAGGCUGGAGUGCAAUGGCCAAAUCUCAGCUCACUGCAGCCUCAACCUCCCAAGUAGAUGGGACUACAGAUGUGCACCACCAUGCCUGGCUAAUUUUAUUUUUUGUGAGACGAGGUCUCACUGUUGCCCAGGCUGGUCUCGAAUUCCUGGACUCCAGCAAUCCUCCCGCCUUGGCCUCCCAAAGUGCCAGGAUUAAGGCACGAGCCACCACGCCCAGCCUGAAAACCCGUUUUCCUGAGGGAAAACUGUUCUGGAAGUCAACAGCAGAGUCCCUUGCCAGGGCCACUUCUAAUACUGAUGAGAUUCUGGCCUGUGCUCCCCUCCCUCAUAUCUUGUGUAGCAUUGUGACUAGAGAUUGGGUAAAAAGGGAAGACCCUGCCAAAUGUUGCCCACCUGCUACCCUCUCCGGCUGUCUGCUGACGUUGGCCACUUGAGUCUCUUGUCACUGUGCCCACCCUUGGCCCCUGCCAGCAUCCUCCACACACCUUGCCCACAGGAGGACAGCUGGAGCAGGGCCACAGGGGAGGGCAUGCAAGGGACCUAUCUGACAAGGCCCUGAAACUUCCUUCCCACUGAGGACCCCAGGACUUGACCUAGUCAUCCCCCACUUUGCUGCCAAUACUUUGGGAGCAGGCAGAUGUCCAGGAAGCGUCUGUUCCUCUGUACCCUCCCUGCCAAGGAAGGAGCUUGAGAAAAAUCUCUUGAAGGUAGAGCCCCUGCUUCUGGCCUAGCUCUCCUGGAGGCGCAGGGCUGACGAGUGCCGCCAAGGUAAGACCAGCUCUGGAGUGUGGGAUAUACAGGCCUUCAGUGGCAACACCUGCUCAUUAAUCAAGCCCUUCCUUUCCGGAACCUGCCCUGGCUUGGGAUGGUGGGAAGGAAGGAGAACAGAAUCUGUUCCUCCCUUCCUGGCCCUGCGGUGAGAGGCGCUGACUAGUGUCGGUGGGUGGAGACAGGCCCAUCAGAAGGCCUGAGUGAGGCACCCUCUGUACAUGCAGCACAAGCGGGUGUGGAGUGUGGGGAAGCAUCUAAAGAUCUAGAAAAAUUUGGCAGCAAAGGAAUUUUACCCACACACUGGAGCCCUAGGCUUUGUUUCUAAAAGUUUUUAUUAUUCUUUAGGAAAACUUGGGAAGCACUGGUUUAUGAAAAUUUUUAGAACUUCAUUGCUACAUGGCCUUUCCAAACACAUCCCCAGAUGGUUUCUUUAAAACCAUGCAGUGGGACAAGGUUGAUAUAAACAGUUGUUCCAGCUGAAUCCAACUCACCAAAACGGUGCAGGUGAGGCAAAUUACUUUUGAGACUGCAAGUACUGUAUAUGUCCAUUAACAAAAACACAGUAAAAGACUUUAAGAAAUUGUAAGGACACUGGCUUGACUGAUUCAUGCGGCUGCAAAUCCCUGGGAGCCAAGAUUCAAAGGCAGAAAUGUCUGUGGUGACAGCACCACCACUGCCUUUGACCAAAUUACAGAUCUGUCACACUCAGAGCUUGCUGCUAGCAUGGGGCUGCCAUCGGCAGCAAAGGGAACUUCAUGGGUCUGUGAGGAGGAACAGCUGAGUUCCUGACUGCCUUUAAUUUUCUCUGAGGCUUUGCUGAGUCACCUAAUCUCUUGGGGCUGUGGUUUUCUCACCUGUAGAAGGAGGGACAGGGCUGAUAUCCCUAGAGUGCCUUUCAGCUCUGGGAUUCACGCAUUCUAAGGAGGGUGGCUAGAGCACAGAACCUCUAAAGAUGUUCAUUCAUUCCUUCAACAAAGUUUACAUGAGCACCUGCCAUGUGCUAAGCACCAGGGCCGACCACUGGCCCAAAAACGCAGGCAUCUGCUGACCUGCCCACUGCAGCAGCAGCCAUACCUUUGCAGGCCGGUGGAGCCCCCCUUUCUACAGCCUGUGGAAAAAAUGGUUCUAAAUUUGCAGAUCCUCUCAUCAAAUCAGGAAGUCAAGAAACAUGAUAGAAUAGAGGAACUGGUCUCAGUUUGCACAGGCCAUCAGUUUCACAAGACAGGAAUCGAAUAUCAACAAUGGCUGAUUAUCACACUCAGGAAUUGAAAAUAAUUAGAAAAAGAGGCAAAGAUGCUGUGGCAAUCAUUGGCUGGUCCCCUUUGGUCUCCAGCACCCAUUCCCCUUUGGUUUAGUAACAGCACCCUAACUUUCCUCCCUAUAUCGUGUGAUAACAGAAGCACUCUCUCCAGGAUACCCUCCCUGAGAGACAGGCAUAUGACCUGAGCCAGCCAAUCAGACUCCUUCCCUGCAAGGAUGCACUAGGUGGACAGCAUGGUGGGAGCAUCUCUCAUCCAGGCAGGGGUGAUCUGUGGGACUGCAGUCAGUCCUGAUGCUUAGAGACCCCAGGACUGCCGUAGCUUCUGUCCUGGACUUGAUUCUCCAGGCUAACAGAGAACCUGACUGAUGCAGAUUCAGGAGAGCUGGUUUGUUUAGUUCUCAGUUCCUUUCAUGAAAUGGCUAUUAUCUCUGCUAGCUACUAUAGCAGAAAUCUGGAAAACAUGAUUUUUCUUGAUUUAUGAAAUUGUUGAUGUUUCUUCAGGAAUUUCCGCCUGCUUCUCAUAAACUGGCAGAAACUUAGAAAUGUUACAUUUCUUAAAGAGAGUCAUUGUAAUUAUUAUCUGAAUAAGAUGAUAGUGUUUUGAAUUUAACGUAAUAAACUCUAACUCCUGCC